rnacentral:rRNA from 1 species
UACGGAGGGUGCAAGCGUUGCUCGGAAUUAUUGGGCGUAAAGGGUAGGUAGGUGGUCUCAUUUGUCUGGGGUGAAAGCCUUGAGCUUAACUCAAGAAGUGCCCCAGAAACGGUGAGACUAGAGUCUUGGAGAGGGUCGUGGAAUUCCCGGUGUAGCGGUGAAAUGCGUAGAGAUCGGGAGGAAGGCCGGUGGCGAAGGCGGCGCUCUGGAACAUUUCUGAUGCUGAGGCUCGAAAGCGUGGGGAGCAAACAGG